rnacentral:rRNA from 1 species
UACGGAGGGUGCGAGCGUUGUCCGGAAUCACUGGGCGUAAAGCGCACGUAGGCGGCUUUUUAAGUCAGAGGUGAAAUCCUGGAGCUCAACUCCAGAACUGCCUUUGAUACUGGAGAGCUUGAGUCCGGGAGAGGUGAGUGGAACUGCGAGUGUAGAGGUGAAAUUCGUAGAUAUUCGCAAGAACACCAGUGGCGAAGGCGGCUCACUGGCCCGGUACUGACGCUGAGGUGCGAAAGCGUGGGGAGCGAACAGG